rnacentral:rRNA from 1 species
CCCUUAGAUGUUCUGGGCCGCACGCGCGCUACACUGAUGCAUUCAACAAGCCUAGCCUUGACCGAGAGGUCCGGGUAAUCUUUGAAACUGCAUCGUGAUGGGGCUAGAUUAUUGCAAUUAUUAAUCUUCAACGAGGAAUGCCUAGUAAGCGUGAUUCAUCAAAUCGCGUUGAUUACGUCCCUGCCCUUUGUACACACCGCCCGUCGCUCCUACCGAUUGAAUGUGUUGGUGAGGAGCUCGGAUUGGCAGCAGUUGGUGGUUCGCCACCGGCGAUUGCUGAGAAGUCCUCCAAACCGCCCCAUUUAGAGGAAGGAGAAGUCGUAACA